GAGAAAAAAAAAAAAGAGAUAACCCAUUAACCCCAAAUCCGACCCUUGUCACCCCCUAAUCCCUUCGAUGGAGAAAGCCCAAAAUCCUUGAUUGAGCAGCUUUCGUUCUUCGAUUCUUUUCCGUCUCUGUUCCCGGUGGUCAUCGAUCAAGGGCGAGCAUCGAAGGAGAAAACCCCAAAUCCUCCCCUUGCUCCCUUCCUCUUCUCUGUUUCUCUUCCUAUUGAGGGCGAUUGUAGCGGCGGGAGGGCAUUUGCAGCGGCCUUCUUCUUCUUCUCCGUUCGGCCAUCUAGUGUUCAAAAUUUGUGAGUCAUGCCAGACACGCAGACCAUUGUCAAUGACUUAGUCGUCAAGCUCAAACGACGUAAGGUUGAGGGAUCACAGGCGACAGCGAAACAGACUGCAGAACUGCUCCGGUCUGUGAUUUCUCAGCAGAGGGUGCCACAUACAAACCAGGCGGGGGCUUUGAUCGAGGCUGUCAAGGCAGUUGGUGAGCAGCUGAUUGCUGCAAAUC